AUUGAACGCUGGCGGCAGGCCUAACACAUGCAAGUCGAGCGGAUGAAGAGAGCUUGCUCUCUGAUUCAGCGGCGGACGGGUGAGUAAUGCCUAGGAAUCUGCCUGGUAGUGGGGGACAACGUUUCGAAAGGAACGCUAAUACCGCAUACGUCCUACGGGAGAAAGUGGGGGAUCUUCGGACCUCACGCUAUCAGAUGAGCCUAGGUACGAUUAGCUAGUUGGUGAGGUAAAGGUUCACCAAGGCGACGAUCGUUAACUGGUCUGAGAGGAUGAUCAGUCACACUGGAACUGGGACACGGUCCAGACUCCUACGGGAGGCAGCAGUGGGGAAUAUUGGACAAUGGGCGAAAGCCUGAUCCAGCCAUGCCGCGUGUGUGAAGAAGGUCUUCGGAUUGUAAAGCACUUUAAGUUGGGAGGAAGGGCAGUAAGUUAAUACCUUGCUGUUUUGACGUUACCGACAGAAUAAGCACCGGCUAACUUCGUGCCAGCAGCCGCCGUAACAC
rnacentral:rRNA from 1 species